GCCUGGAAACAGGGCUUCAGUCCCAGGCCCCGACUUCUCUCUCGGCGGUUUUCUGGGUGGGAAGCUAUGUGGACUCUGAGAGUUGGGGCCUGAGGGAAAGAGGAUGAGUGGGGGCUCCUGGGACCUGAGUGAUAUUGGUGGCAUGUGUGUCAGUUGGAGCUGUCAGCUGGACCAGCAGGAAAUAAGAAGCACGGAUCUGAGGGGAGGGGAGUGAAUCCCAGUCACAGAGACAGCUUGAUGUUUCGGCCUGGAGGGGAGUUACGAGGUCCUCACUCUACAGAAACAUCAAGACAGGAAAAUCCAUCCUCCUUCGUCUUGAAGCAUCUUAUAAAAGCUGUUACCAGAAGGGUAGAGACAAGAACGCCUCUGAGCACCUGUCCCGGUACAGUCUCAGUGGCCAACACAGGAAGCCUCCUCCAGGACCUGGCCUUGUCCUCUGAGGCCCACGCGGGCUCUGUUUAGUUGCUGGGGAAGCUCUCUGGGUCUGCCCUGUUCCCCACUAUUGAUGUCUGGACUGUGUCUGUGCCAUCACUUGAGGAGAGACACUUGUAAAAACCUAUAACCUCAGUAAAAUUCCCCUCAAGCAUGUUAGUGGUAAGAGGGGGGAUGAAAAGUAGGGUCUUUGCUACGCACAAGUGCUUUUAAGAACUAGCCAACCUUUCCCGUAAAUGGGGUUAAAUUUAUUGUAGCUCCUAAGUAACAAAGUUCCCAGCUGAGGAUGCUUCUACACCUUGCAAGUCUGUUAUGAUCAGAGCUCACCUUGCAUGCGCAUCAGGCUUUCCUACAUUGUGUUCAAACUACAAAGUGUUCUUUUUGCAUUUCUUAUAUUCUUUUAACUCAUGUUCCUCCUCUAUAGCCCUGUGGGGUAAAAUGCUAAUGUAACUCUUUUUUAUUGAAGACUUAGAAAAGCCAAGUGAUUUUUCUCAGAACGCACGCAGCACAGUGAAAGGGCCAUUAUGUAGCGUGUGGGAGCAGGCUCAUCAACUGCUAUUCAACCGAGAGUGGCCUGGUGUUCCUUUUUGAGGCUUUGGCAUCACUGACCUUCCAGUUUGUGGCCUGAAGCCAAUGAUCUUGACAAUCCCUGUGAAGAACCACAUGUAAGUAAAGAGACUCGGCAAGAUGACCAGGGAGAGAAAGGGCAAUAAGUAGCAACCCCCAUGAGGGCACCACGCCUUCUUCACGCUCCAGUUUACAUUUCCAAAGCUCGAAAUAUUCCGAAACACCCAAACAAUGGUGGCAAAUAGAAGCUUCUUUCAAAAACAAAUAUUCUGCAAAAACUGAACAUACUCUAAAAGUCCUUCAAGAGUAGAAUGGACUCAUAAAUGGUGGUUUCUU
rnacentral:lncRNA from 1 species